CUCACACGAUUUUAAAUUAAUUUUUGCUUCUAGGGGGAGUCCAUCACAACAGCUUGCUGUUGGGACUCUCAAGCGUUGCCCUUGCGUUGCACUAUUGCAAAGGCCUGGCGCACCCCUA